rnacentral:tRNA from 1 species
GGGGAUUUAGCUCAGUGGUAGAGCACUUGCCUAGCAAGCACAAGGUCCUGGAUUCAAUCCUCA